rnacentral:lncRNA from 1 species
UUUAAUUUUUUUCUAUUUUUUUUCAGAUUUGGGGUUCUUCACUAAAACUUGAAUAGAAUAAAAUCUACGACCCCAAUUGACGUCUAGUCAGUCUCGUCGGAUUAGUAUCUUUCCAAACUACAAGAUUCUAUCAUCAAAAUGCAAAUUUUGACAUGUUUUGGUUACUGAAAAUGGGCCGAAAGUGGACUGUUCUUACAAUGUUGCAACAGUUGACAUGUUUUGGUCAAAAAUCCAUAUCUCACUCAUUUUAAUUUAUUUUUACAUGCUUCGAAAGGGAUUUUGUUCUUAACC